rnacentral:rRNA from 1 species
ACGGCUCAGUAACACGUGGAUAACCUGCCCUUGGGUCCGGCAUAACCCCGGGAAACUGGGGAUAAUUCCGGAUACCGCAUAUGUGCUGGAAUGCUUUAUGCGUAAAAUGGAUUCGUCUGCCCAAGGAUGGGUCUGCGGCCUAUCAGGUAGUAGUGGGUGUAAUGUACCUACUAGCCGACAACGGGUACGGGUUGUGAGAGCAAGAGCCCGGAGAUGGAUUCUGAGACAUGAAUCCAGGCCCUACGGGGCGCAGCAGGCGCGAAAACUUUACAAUGCGGGAAACCGUGAUAAGGGGACACCGAGUGUCAGCGUCAUACGCUGGCUGUCCAGGUGUGUAAAAUACACCUGUUAGCAAGGGCCGGGCAAGACCGGUGCCAGCCGCCGCGGUAACACCGGCGGCCCGAGUGGUGAUCGUGAUUAUUGGGUCUAAAGGGUCCGUAGCCGGUUUGGUCAGUCCUCCGGGAAAUCUGAUAGCUCAACUAUUAGGCUAUCGGGGGAUACUACCAGACUUGGAACCGGGAGAGGUAAGAGGUACUACAGGGGUAGGAGUGAAAUCUUGUAAUCCCUGUGGGACCACCUGUGGCGAAGGCGUCUUACCAGAACGGGUUCGACGGUGAGGGACGAAAGCUGGGGGCACGAACCGGAUUAGAUACCCGGGUAGUCCCAGCCGUAAACGAUGCUCGCUAGGUGUCAGGCAUGGCGCGACCGUGUCUGGUGCCGCAGGGAAGCCGUGAAGCGAGCCA